ensembl:lncRNA
GUUCCCACGCGCAAGGACAGGGCCGCCGGUCCCAGGACCUGAAGCUGGACGGGCUGGUCAAAAGCCCCCUGCACCUUUUAGCCCCUUUUGGGAGGAGGGGUUUGGGACCGGGAUUCUCAGACCUUUACAGUCUCACUGGUGACCGGCGGGAUGGGAGAAGACUGGAUUUUGCAGCCAGAUAUAUUCGGUUAGAAGUUCUUGGUUUGCCACUUUUUUCGCCUAUGGGACCUCGGUCAAGCCCCUUACACUUGGUAAGCCUCAGUCUCUCGUCUAUAAAAUGGGGAGGAUACUCCCAGGAUCGCGGGGAGAAUUCAGGACGAUAUUUGUCAAGGGCCUGCCACGCGCGGGGUGACCCACGGAAGAGGGUGCAGGUGGGUGGGGACUUUCUCGUGCUGGGUUUCUCGGCUCGGCUCAUCCUGGGGGGCCCGGAGUACCGCCCCCGCGCGACGGCUGAGCGUGGCGGACUCUCGGCCUCUCCCGGCGCGGCUGAGGCGGUCGUACCGGUUCCGAACCCUUCCCCCACCGGCCGGCUUCUGGCGGCAACCUGCAGGCAGAAGGCCAGGCUUUAUUUACACAAAAGCAGCGGGUGGAAGCUGGCCUUGUAAGGACGAAAGAAACGUUGGCGGGCCGGGAACGUCGCCGGGGGAGGCAGUAAAAGCGGUUCUGAUAGGAAUC